rnacentral:miRNA from 15 species
CGCCGCUACAUCUAGUUGCAUU